rnacentral:sRNA from 1 species
AGUAACACUCUGGAAGGGCUCAAACCACAUAACCAAAUGUGCCAAGAUAAUCCUGAGAUCGCUCAUGUCAGUCCUGAAGAUUUUCCUCAGAGAAUUUUUCAUCUCUUUGUUCCUGAGACUAUAUAUUAGAGGAUUGCAGAGAGGUGUUAUCACAGAAUAGAAAAAGUGGAUUUUUAUCUGAGAUCUACAACUUAUGAAGAAUAUAAGUGAUAUAUAUAUAAGUGAUUAUAUGUGUAAUAUAUAUAAGUGAUAUAUAUUCUUUUCUACUCUUCAUGUAUGGAAUAAAAGGGCUUGCACAGUAGUAAGAAAAAAAUGGCUUAGGCCCACAGGAACAAAGAAACAGGACAGGAGUUAGAUGCAGAGAAGAGAUUUCAACAAAAGUUUGGAAAAGAUGCUAACGGUAGCAUAUGAGUCACAGACAGAAUAUUGGCACCUUUUUUUUAAGAAACUGAAUGUUAAUGUCACAUCUGCCUUUGGAGAUUACAAAUGAAAUGGCUACCUUUCUACUGGAACUCUGACCAGAAGCCUGCCAAUUAGUAAGCUGGCUUAAGAGAUCAAUCUAAAAUUUACAUAAGGCUUUUGAAAAAAAGAAAAAA